CAUUAGGGCUAAGAGGAGGAUUGUAAGUGAUUCAGGAAGCAAAGCUUAUUGAUCACGAAGCAUGACAGUGGAAGAAUUUCCUGAAAAUGGAAGGAGAAGAUGGUUUCACAGCAAAGCUACUAAUCUGAAACAGUAAAAGCAACAAACAAAUGCCCACUCCCCUUAGCUGACCAGAACACAAUCCUUGUGAAAUAUAAAAACAAUUAGGGACAGAAGCUGCUUCCUGUGCAGGAAAUGCGAGAU
rnacentral:lncRNA from 1 species